GACGAACGCUGGCGGCGUGCUUAACACAUGCAAGUCGAACGGAAAGGCCCUGCUUUUGUGGGGUGCUCGAGUGGCGAACGGGUGAGUAACACGUGAGUAACCUGCCCUUGACUUUGGGAUAACAUCAGGAAACUGGGGCUAAUACCGGAUAGGAGCUCCUGCUGCAUGGUGGGGGUUGGAAAGUUUCGGCGGUUGGGGAUGGACUCGCGGCUUAUCAGCUUGUUGGUGGGGUAGUGGCUUACCAAGGCUUUGACGGGUAGCCGGCCUGAGAGGGUGACCGGCCACAUUGGGGCUGAGAUACGGCCCAGACUCCUACGGGAGGCAGCAGUGGGGAAUAUUGCACAAUGGGCGGAAGCCUGAUGCAGCAACGCCGCGUGCGGGAUGACGGCCUUCGGGUUGUAAACCGCUUUCGCCUGUGACGAAGCGUGAGUGACGGUAAUGGGUAAAGAAGCACCGGCUAACUACGUG
rnacentral:rRNA from 1 species